AUUGAACGCUGGCGGCAUGCUUUACACAUGCAAGUCGGACGGCAGCACAGAGAAGCUUGCUUCUUGGGUGGCGAGUGGCGAACGGGUGAGUAACAUAUCGGAACGUACCGAGCAGUGGGGGAUAACUAAUCGAAAGAUUAGCUAAUACCGCAUAUCUUCUGAGGAAGAAAGCAGGGGACCAUUUGGCCUUGCGCUGUUUGAGCGGCCGAUAUCUGAUUAGCUAGUUGGUGGGGUAAAGGCCUACCAAGGCGACGAUCAGUAGCGGGUCUGAGAGGAUGAUCCGCCACACUGGGACUGAGACACGGCCCAGACUCCUACGGGAGGCAGCAGUGGGGAAUUUUGGACAAUGGGCGUAAGCCUGAUCCAGCCAUGCCGCGUGUCUGAAGAAGGCCUUCGGGUUGUAAAGGACUUUUGUCAGGGAAGAAAAGGGCGGGGUUAAUACCCCUGUCUGAUGACGGUACCUGAAGAAUAAGCACCGGCUAACUACGUG
rnacentral:rRNA from 1 species